UACGUAGGUGGCAAGCGUUGUCCGGAUUUACUGGGCGUAAAGAGCGCGCAGGCGGUCGGAUAAGUCGAAUGUGAAAGCCCCUGGCUCAACCAGGGAGGGUCAUUCGAUACUGUUCGACUCGAAGGCAGAAGAGGGAAGUGGAAUUCCGGGUGUAGUGGUGAAAUGCGUAGAUAUCCGGAGGAACACCAGUGGCGAAGGCGACUUUCUGGCCUGUUCUUGACGCUGAGGCGCGAAAGCUAGGGGAGCAAACGGG
rnacentral:rRNA from 1 species